AUUCGGUGGUCCUCAGACCACGUGAGCGGCUCCAGGCCGCUGACCGGACUCAGUAGCUUUAUCACCGGAUCCCUCUUCACGACUGGCCCGAGUGCUGCCCAGGGAUCAUUCUCCCGUUCGGCUUCGUGGACCAGACCAUGCAUCCGCCCUCUCUUAGGUCAAGGAAAAGGAGAUCAGGCCUCUCCUGCAUCCCUCCAACCUGGUUACUGGCUGAUGACAGUAUGGUCUGAGUGACAGCGGAGGGCUGUGGGGGUCUUUACCAGGAUUCAAGGAAAGAAAAUACAAU